UACGGAGGGUGCAAGCGUUAUCCGGAUUCACUGGGGUUAAAGGGUGCGUAGGUGGAUUAGUAAGUCAGUGGUGAAAUCUCCGGGCUUAACCCGGAAACUGCCAUUGAUACUAUUAGUCUUGAAUACCGUGGAGGUCAGCGGAAUAUGUCAUGUAGCAGUGAAAUGCUUAGAUAUGACAUAGAACACCAAUUGCGAAGGCAGCUGGCUACACGAGCAUUGACACUCAGGCACGAAAGCGUGGGGAUCAAACAGG
rnacentral:rRNA from 1 species